rnacentral:rRNA from 1 species
CCCUUAGAUGUUCUGGGCUGCACGCGCGCUACACUGAUGCAUUCAACGAGUUUUACCUUGGCCGAGAGGCCUGGGCAAUCUUUUAAACCUGCAUCGUGAUAGGGAUAGAUUAUUGCAAUUAUUAAUCUUGAACGAGGAAUUCCUAGUAAACGCAAAUCAUCAAUUUGCAUUGAUUACGUCCCUGCCCUUUGUACACACCGCCCGUCGCACCUACCGAUUGAAUGGUCCGGUGAAGCCUCGGGAUUGUGGCCAGUUCACUUUAUUGGGAGUUGGCUGCGAGAACUUGUCUAAACCUUAUCAUUUAGAGGAAGGUGAAGUCGUAACA